AACCCAAAUAAUUAGUUCUAUUCUUAAUUUUAUUAAUAGCCUAUAUAUAUAAAUUUAAAUAGUUUUAAUUAAAACCUUUCGUCUAACUCGCUUAUUAUUUAGAGCAAAAUUUAUUUUUAGAAAAACUAACUUUUCGAAUACUAAUUAGUACGACAUUUUACACAAUUUCACAAUUAAAAUUUACAACUCUCAAAAUGUAUAGAAAAUUUUGUGUGACAUGGAACACAGCUACAUAAUCGAACUCAUCGCAAGUUUGGUAAAAGCUUUAAAGCUUUUCGCAAAACCUUUUUCAUACUUGCUUUGCUCACACAAUUUUUUUUUUUUUUUUUUUUAAUUUCGUCUUGUAACGAGACAAGGCAUAUUUGCUUCCAAAUUCAGAAAGUACAUAUAAAUGUACAUGAAAAUAAUUAUUUUAUUAUUUUUUAAUUUAUUAAUAACUUUCGGGGUGAGGUUCUCUCCUAGUUAAAAAAAAAAAAAAAACAAAAAAAAAAAUGCCUCUUCUGUGGUUCUCACAACACCACAAAAAUGAACCUCACCCAACAAAAUGUAUAAACAAAGAGAUCAAAAUUGAGCUUGAAAUAUGUGUACAUUCAUUAAUUGACACCGAGAAGCCAGCAAACUGAAGAGCACUGAGAGCUUGCCGAAAGGAGCCCCUUAAUGACAUCGAAAAGCCAGCAAACUGAAGAGCACUGAGAGCGAGAGCUUGCAAAAAGGAACAAAUUCCAUUUGCCAGAUUGAGUCGAAUAUACAUACGAAUACAUAUUAUCCAGCCAGGGCCAUCACAUCAAUUCAUCAGUAUUCUCCGAAAAAUACUAUUGCGAGAACGUCUAUUGCUUUCAUAAUACCAGCAACAACGACAAUGAACUGAGGAUUGUUGCGCACACAAAAUGUUUCCAUGAUUGCCAUCAACCAAGAAAGAUUCUCGAAAUAUCUCUAAUUGUAAACGGACGAUUGCCUGAACGUGGAUGGAAAUGUUGUAAUGCCCUGCCAUUUGGUGUUCAUGUUAAAUUAAAAGUAUUUUUAAAAAAACAAAAAAUAAAAACUAUACCUAAUACAUUUUUGAAAUACCAAUGUAAAUGAAA